CUUUAAUCAAUAUACUUAGCAGUUUUGGCUUUAUGUUCAGUAGGUAAAUUAUUCUAUUGAGUAGAUUUGUCUUUAUAUUCAGUACUUUUGAAAAUAUCUUCUGUCAACAUAUUUUUAUAUUAUGUAGAUUUCUCAUUAUGUUGACUACAGAAACCGAAAUAUUCAGUGGUCAAACACACUUUAUAAUCAGUACUGUUAUCAUUAUGUUGAGUGAAAUAAAUAU
rnacentral:lncRNA from 1 species